rnacentral:rRNA from 1 species
UGAAUACGAGAUGCUAAGGCGUCGAAGUAGUGUAUGUCAUACUUCCAAGAAAAGCUUGCACUGUCAUAGAUAAAAAAUGCCUGUACCAUAACCGACACAGGUGGGUAAGUAGAGUAUACUAAGGGGCGCGAGAUAACUCUCUCUAAGGAACUCGGCAAAAUAACUCCGUAACUUCGGGAGAAGGAGUGCCUUAUUCUUAAGGUUGCAAUAACAAGAUCCAAGCAACUGUUUAUCAAAAACACAGGUCUCCGCUAAGUCGUAAGACGAUGUAUGGGGGCUGACGCCUGCCCAGUGCCAGAAGGUUAAAGAAGUUGGUUAGCAAUUGCGAAGCUGGUAACUGAAGCCCUGGUGAACGGCGGCCGUAACGAUAACGGUCCUAAGGUAGCGAAAUCCCUUGUCGGGUAAGUUCCGACCCGCACGAAAGGCGUAAUGAUUUGGAUGCUGUCUCGGAGAGGGGCUCGGUGAAAUAGACUUGUCUGUGAAGAUGCGGACUACCUGCACCAGGACAGAAAGACCCUAUGAAGCUUUACUGUAACUUGAAAUUGAAAUUGGACUUUAUUUGCGCAGUAUAGGUGGGAGGCGUUGAUUAUAAUCUUGCGGGAUUAUUGGAGCCAUCAGUGAGAUACCACUCUUGUAAUGUUAGAUUUCUAACUUUGAGUCAUUAUCUGGUCAAAGGACAAUUUCAGGCGGGCAGUUUGACUGGGGCGGUCGCCUCCUAAAUGGUAACGGAGGCGUACAAAGGUUUCCUCUGAACGGUUAGAAAUCGUAUCUAGAGUGUAAAGGCAUAAGGAAGCUUGACUGUGAGACCUACAAGUCGAGCAGGGACGAAAGUCGGUCUUAGUGAUCUGACGGUACUGAGUGGAAAGGCCGUCACUCAACGGAUAAAAGUUACUCUAGGAUAACAGGCUGAUCUCCCCCAAGAGUUCACAUCGACGGGGAGGUUUGGCACCUCGAUGUCGGCUCAUCGCAUCCUGGGGCGGUAGUACGUCCCAAGGGUUGGGCUGUUCGCCCAUGAAAGCGGUACGCGAGCUGGGUUCAGAACGUCGUGAGACAGUUCGGUCCAUAUCCGGUGUAGGCGUUAGAAUAUUGAGAGGAGCCUUCUUUAGUACGAGAGGACCGAGAAGGACAUACCUCUGGUGUACCAGUUAUCGUGCCAACGGUAAACGCUGGGUAGCUAUGUAUGGAGUGGAUAACCGCUGAAAGCAUCUAAGUGGGAAGCCCACCUCAAGAUAAGUAUUCCC